UGGGAUAACUCCGGGAAACCGGAGCUAAUACCGGAUAGUUCCUUGAACCGCAUGGUUCAAGGAUGAAAGACGGUUUCGGCUGUCACUUACAGAUGGACCCGCGGCGCAUUAGCUAGUUGGUGAGGUAACGGCUCACCAAGGCGACGAUGCGUAGCCGACCUGAGAGGGUGAUCGGCCACACUGGGACUGAGACACGGCCCAGACUCCUACGGGAGGCAGCAGUAGGGAAUCUUCCGCAAUGGACGAAAGUCUGACGGAGCAACGCCGCGUGAGUGAUGAAGGUUUUCGGAUCGUAAAGCUCUGUUGUUAGGGAAGAACAAGUGCAAGAGUAACUGCUUGCACCUUGACGGUACCUAACCAGAAAGCCACGGCUAACUACGUGCCAGCAGCCGCGGUAAUACGUAGGUGGCAAGCGUUGUCCGGAAUUAUUGGGCGUAAAGGGCUCGCAGGCGGUUUCUUAAGUCUGAUGUGAAAGCCCCCGGCUCAACCGGGGAGGGUCAUUGGAAACUGGGAAACUUGAGUGCAGAAGAGGAGAGUGGAAUUCCACGUGUAGCGGUGAAAUGCGUAGAGAUGUGGAGGAACACCAGUGGCGAAGGCGACUCUCUGGUCUGUAACUGACGCUGAGGAGCGAAAGCGUGGGGAGCGAACAGGAUUAGAUACCCUGGUAGUCCACGCCGUAAACGAUGAGUGCUAAGUGUUAGGGGGUUUCCGCCCCUUAGUGCUGCAGCUAACGCAUUAAGCACUCCGCCUGGGGAGUACGGUCGCAAGACUGAAACUCAAAGGAAUUGACGGGGGCCCGCACAAGCGGUGGAGCAUGUGGUUUAAUUCGAAGCAACGCGAAGAACCUUACCAGGUCUUGACAUCCUCUGACAACCCUAGAGAUAGGGCUUUCCCUUCGGGGACAGAGUGACAGGUGGUGCAUGGUUGUCGUCAGCUCGUGUCGUGAGAUGUUGGGUUAAGUCCCGCAACGAGCGCAACCCUUGAUCUUAGUUGCCAGCAUUCAGUUGGGCACUCUAAGGUGACUGCCGGUGACAAACCGGAGGAAGGUGGGGAUGACGUCAAAUCAUCAUGCCCCUUAUGACCUGGGCUACACACGUGCUACAAUGGACAGAACAAAGGGCUGCGAGACCGCAAGGUUUAGCCAAUCCCACAAAUCUGUUCUCAGUUCGGAUCGCAGUCUGCAACUCGACUGCGUGAAGCUGGAAUCGCUAGUAAUCGCGGAUCAGCAUGCCGCGGUGAA
rnacentral:rRNA from 1 species